rnacentral:rRNA from 1 species
GAGUUUGAUCGUGGCUCAGGAUGAACGCUGGCGGCGUGCCUAACACAUGCAAGUCGAACGGAUCCAUAUUGAAACCUAGUGAUGUAUGGAUUAGUGGCGGACGGGUGAGUAACGCGUGGAUAACCUGCCGUAUACAGGGGAUAACACUUAGAAAUAGGUGCUAAUACCGCAUAAGCGCACGGCUCCGCAUGGAACAGUGUGAAAAACUCCGGUGGUAUACGAUGGAUCCGCGUCUGAUUAGCCAGUUGGCGGGGUAACGGCCCACCAAAGCGACGAUCAGUAGCCGGCCUGAGAGGGUGAACGGCCACAUUGGGACUGAGACACGGCCCAAACUCCUACGGGAGGCAGCAGUGGGGAAUAUUGCACAAUGGGGGAAACCCUGAUGCAGCGACGCCGCGUGAGUGAAGAAGUAUUUCGGUACGUAAAGCUCUAUCAGCAGGGAAGAAAAACCGGCCUUAGGGCCGCCAGACGGUACCUGACUAAGAAGCCCCGGCUAACUACGUGCCAGCAGCCGCGGUAAC